rnacentral:rRNA from 1 species
AGUGAACGCUGGCGGUAGGCCUAACACAUGCAAGUCGAACGGCAGCACAGGAGAGCUUGCUCUCUGGGUGGCGAGUGGCGGACGGGUGAGGAAUACAUCGGAAUCUGCCCAGUCGUGGGGGAUAACGUAGGGAAACUUACGCUAAUACCGCAUACGACCUUCGGGUGAAAGAGGGGGAUCGCAAGACCUCCCGCGACUGGACGAGCCGAUGUCGGAUUAGCUAGUUGGCGGGGUAAUGGCCCACCAAGGCGACGAUCCGUAGCUGGUCUGAGAGGAUGAUCAGCCACACUGGAACUGAGACACGGUCCAGACUCCUACGGGAGGCAGCAGUGGGGAAUAUUGGACAAUGGGCGCAAGCCUGAUCCAGCCAUACCGCGUGGGUGAAGAAGACCUUCGGGUUGUAAAGCCCUUUUGUUGGGAAAGAAAUCUUUCAGGCUAAUACCCUGGGAGGAUGACGGUACCCAAAAAAUAAGCACCGGCUAACUUCGUG